CUCAUGUUUUAAAUGAAGGAUACCUGAUAAACAAAGUGGAUUCCUUGUGAACGGACACAUAUAAGCACCUUGUUGUGAUGUUUUAGGAAUGCUUUUGUUAAUUCUAACUUCAGGUGUAUUUACAUCUGCCCGGAUAACUGGAACAACUGAACCAGACCCUGUGUCAUUACUAUGUACUUGCUCAAGGAUAAACUUUGCUGAGAGGAAAUAUGGAGGCACCACGUUUGAUAUUCAAGCAGAAAUAAAUUUUCAAAAUCUGAAAUGUAGAGAGAAUGCUGAACGCCUUCGAUGGAAUCCAAUAGCUUCUAUUUACAUAGGGAAUGUU